rnacentral:rRNA from 1 species
UACGUAGGCAGCAAGCGUUUGUUCGGAAUUACUGGGCGUAAAGAGUGUGUAGGCGGUGCUCCAAGUCUGGUGUGAAAUCUCCCGGCUCAACUGGGAGGGUGCGCUAGAAACUGGAAUGCUAGAGGAUGGGAGAGGUAAGCGGAAUUCCUGGUGUAGCGGUGAAAUGCGUAGAUAUCAGGAGGAACACCUGUGGUGUAGACAGCUUACUGGACCAUUUCUGACGCUGAGACACGAAAGCGUGGGUAGCAAACAGG